UCCUGAAACGGGUGGUAAUGCCGGAUGUUCCACAUGAGCGCAUGCGAGUGUGGGAAAGGCUUUUGCGGCAUGGGAUGGGGUCGCGUCCUAUCAGCUUGUUGGUGGGGUAACGGCCUACCAAGGCGUUGACGGGUAGCCGGCCUGAGAGGGCGACCGGCCACAUUGGGACUGAGAUACGGCCCAGACUCCUACGGGAGGCAGCAGUGGGGAAUAUUGCACAAUGGGCGCAAGCCUGAUGCAGCGACGCCGCGUGCGGGAUGGAGGCCUUCGGGUUGUAAACCGCUUUUGUUCAAGGGCAAGGCACGGUUUCGGCCGUGUUGAGUGGAUUGUUCGAAUAAGCACCGGCUAACUACGUGCCAGCAGCCGCGGUAAUACGUAGGGUGCAAGCGUUAUCCGGAUUUAUUGGGCGUAAAGGGCUCGUAGGCGGUUCGUCGCGUCCGGUGUGAAAGUCCAUCGCUUAACGGUGGAUCCGCGCCGGGUACGGGCGGGCUUGAGUGCGGUAGGGGAGACUGGAAUUCCCGGUGUAACGGUGGAAUGUGUAGAUAUCGGGAAGAACACC
rnacentral:rRNA from 1 species